UUUACCGCUUGACUCCUGUCCCAAUCUAACCUAGUGGGUUUAAAAAGAAGAAACCGCGCUGGAAACAUGAGUAGAUUAAAAGGAUCAGCCCUUUUUGAAUUAAUAGUCGAAGUGGUAACCAGCUAGAAGUCGUAACCUGCUCGUAUGAAAGGAUUUCUCGACGUGAAAUUGUUAAUUUUAUUCAACAACGCCAAGAAACAGAGCUCGCUCAAGAAA